GGAGGGACAGCUCAGUGGUAGAGUGCUGGCUUAUUUAGCAUGCGCAAGGUCCUAGGUUCAAUCCCUAGUACCGCCA
rnacentral:tRNA from 1 species